UUACACAUGCAAGUCGAGGGGUAUAGUUCUUCGGGAUUAGAGACCGGCGCACGGGUGCGUAACGCGUAUGCAAUCUGCCUUUCACAGAGGGAUAGCCCAGAGAAAUUUGGAUUAAUACCUCAUAGUAUUACGACUCGGCAUCGAGAUGUAAUUAAAGUCACAACGGUGAAAGAUGAGCAUGCGUCCCAUUAGCUAGUUGGUAAGGUAACGGCUUACCAAGGCAACGAUGGGUAGGGGUCCUGAGAGGGAGAUCCCCCACACUGGUACUGAGACACGGACCAGACUCCUACGGGAGGCAGCAGUGAGGAAUAUUGGACAAUGGGCGCAAGCCUGAUCCAGCCAUGCCGCGUGCAGGAUGACGGUCCUAUGGAUUGUAAACUGCUUUUGUACGAGAAGAAACACUCCUAUGUAUAGGAGCUUGACGGUAUCGUAAGAAUAAGGAUCGGCUAACUCCGUGCCAGCAGCCGCGGUAAUACGGAGGAUCCAAGCGUUAUCCGGAAUCAUUGGGUUUAAAGGGUCCGUAGGCGGUUUAGUAAGUCAGUGGUGAAAGCCCAUCGCUCAACGGUGGAACGGCCAUUGAUACUGCUGAACUUGAAUUAUUAGGAAGUAACUAGAAUAUGUAGUGUAGCGGUGAAAUGCUUAGAUAUUACAUGGAAUACCAAUUGCGAAGGCAGGUUACUACUAAUGGAUUGACGCUGAUGGACGAAAGCGUGGGGAGCGAACAGGAUUAGAUACCCUGGUAGUCCACGCCGUAAACGAUGGAUACUAGCUGUUGGAAGCAAUUUCAGUGGCUAAGCGAAAGUGAUAAGUAUCCCACCUGGGGAGUACGUUCGCAAGAAUGAAACUCAAAGGAAUUGACGGGGGCCCGCACAAGCGGUGGAGCAUGUGGUUUAAUUCGAUGAUACGCGAGGAACCUUACCAAGGCUUAAAUGUAGAUUGACCGGUUUGGAAACAGAUCUUUCGCAAGACAAUUUACAAGGUGCUGCAUGGUUGUCGUCAGCUCGUGCCGUGAGGUGUCAGGUUAAGUCCUAUAACGAGCGCAACCCCUGUUGUUAGUUGCCAGCGAGUCAAGUCGGGAACUCUAACAAGACUGCCGUGCAACUGUGAGGAAGGUGGGGAUGACGUCAAAUCAUCACGGCCUUAU
rnacentral:rRNA from 1 species